CUUUUAAUAAAAAGGUCGGGCCUGCCCGGUGAGCUAUAUUAAACGGCUGCAACGAGAGUUGUACUAAGGUAGCGCGAUAAUUUGUCUCUUAAUUGGAGAAUGGUAUGAACGGUUUGUCGCGGAUUAAUUGUCUCUGGGAAAUAAUGUGAAGUUUCCUUUUAAAUGAGAAGGUUUAAAUUAAACUAAAAGACGAGAAGACCCUGUCGAGCUUAAUAAGUUUUGUGGAUUUAUUUUGGUAGGUUUAUAAAAUAAACUGUAGUUGGGGAAAACUUGGCUUAAAAUAAUAGGCUUGGGAUUGGCGGUGAUCCUUUUUGAAAGAUAAUCGGCAAAAGCUACCGCAGGGAUAACAGCGUAAUCUCCCUUGAGAGGUCCUAUUGAGGGGGAGGUUUGCGACCUCGAUGUUGGAUUAGGUGAACUGUUUGGUGCAGCCGCUAAAAGAAGUGAGACUGUUCGUCUCUUAAAUUCCUACAUGAUCUGAGUUCAGACCGGA
rnacentral:rRNA from 1 species